GACGAACGCUGGCGGCGUGCUUAACACACGCAAGUCGAACGGAAAGGCCCUGCUUUUGUGGGGUGCUCGAGUGGCGAACGGGUGAGUAACACGUGAGUAACCUGCCCUUGACUUUGGGAUAACUUCAGGAAACUGGGGCUAAUACCGGAUAGGAGCUCCUGCUGCAUGGUGGGGGUUGGAAAGUUUCGGCGGUUGGGGAUGGACUCGCGGCUUAUCAGCUUGUUGGUGGGGUAGUGGCUUACCAAGGCUUUGACGGGUAGCCGGCCUGAGAGGGUGACCGGCCACAUUGGGACUGAGAUACGGCCCAGACUCCUACGGUAGGCAGCAGUGGGGAAUAUUGCACAAUGGGCGGAAGCCUGAUGCAGCAACGCCGCGUGCGGGAUGACGGCCUUCGGGUUAUAAACCGCUUUCGCCUGUGACGAAGCGUGAGUGACGGUAAUGGGUAAAGAAGCACCGGCUAACUACGUG
rnacentral:rRNA from 1 species